rnacentral:rRNA from 1 species
GCGGUAAUACGGAGGGUGCAAGCGUUAAUCGGAAUUACUGGGCGUAAAGCGCACGCAGGCGGUCUGUCAAGUCAGAUGUGAAAUCCCCGGGCUUAACCUGGGAACUGCAUUUGAAACUGGCAGGCUAGAGUCUUGUAGAGGGGGGUAGAAUUCCAGGUGUAGCGGUGAAAUGCGUAGAGAUCUGGAGGAAUACCGGUGGCGAAGGCGGCCCCCUGGACAAAGACUGACGCUCAGGUGCGAAAGCGUGGGGAGCAAACAGGAUUAGAUACCCUGGUAGUCCACGCCGUAAACGAUGUCGACUUGGAGGUUGUGCCCUUGAGGCGUGGCUUCCGGAGCUAACGCGUUAAGUCGACCGCCUGGGGAGUACGGCCGCAAGGUUAAAACUCAAAUGAAUUGACGGA